UCUCCUCUAUUAUUUCUGGUCUCUAACCAGUCAUACCACUUGUUCCAUGUUAGAUAGUACUCUGUGUCUUCCUUUUCUUUUAUCUCUUUUGUUAAUUUGUCCAUCUCAGCACAGUCCAGGAUUUUCCUCAUCACUUCUUCCUCUGAUGAUAUAUUCUCAA